rnacentral:rRNA from 1 species
UAAACGACUCUCGGCAACGGAUAUCUCGGCUCUCGCAUCGAUGAAGAACGUAGCGAAAUGCGAUACUUGGUGUGAAUUGCAGAAUCCCGUGAACCAUCGAGUCUUUGAACGCAAGUUGCGCCCGAAGCCUUUUGGCUGAGGGCACGCCUGCCUGGGCGUCACGCA